GUACUUGCUUCAGCAGCGCAUGCACUCAAACUGGAGUGAUACAGAGAUUAGCAUGGCCUCUGCACAAGGAUGACAUGCAAAUUCAUGAAGUGUUCCAUAUUUUU